rnacentral:rRNA from 1 species
AUGGUCAAGGACUCAGGGCAAUGGAUAAAAUCUAGAUGCCAAGUUGACUUUUUUCCUGCGGAUUUGCUUAUCGUGAAGAUGCACAAAGGUUUGAUAGCUCAAGCAUUGGAUGUUGGCAAAAUAGAAGUUCCUUCACCAAAGGAAGAAAGUAGUUCCACCGAUUCAGAAGCUAGUAGAGAUACUGAAAACUUUGACACUAGUGGCGAUGACGACAAUGAUCGUAAUCACAAGCACCGAAGACCAUUGCCAUGUUCUUGCAUACUAUAG